rnacentral:rRNA from 1 species
GAUGAACGCCAGCGGCAGGCUUAACACAUGCAAGUCGAGGGGUAGAAGUUGCUUGCAACUUUGAGACCGGCGCACGGGUGCGUAACGCGUAUGCAAUCUACCUUAUACAGAGGGAUAGCCCAGAGAAAUUUGGAUUAAUACCUCAUAGUAUAAUUGAAUGGCAUCAUUUAAUUAUUAAAGUUCCAACGGUAUAAGAUGAGCAUGCGUCCUAUUAGCUAGAUGGUAAGGUAACGGCUUACCAUGGCGACGAUAGGUAGGGGUCCUGAGAGGGAGAUCCCCCACACUGGUACUGAGACACGGACCAGACUCCUACGGGAGGCAGCAGUGAGGAAUAUUGGACAAUGGGCGCAAGCCUGAUCCAGCCAUGCCGCGUGCAGGAAGAAGCAUCUAUGGUGUGUAAACUGCUUUUGUACGGGAAGAAACACUCCUACGUGUAGGAGCUUGACGGUACCGUAAGAAUAAGGAUCGGCUAACUCCGUGCCAGCCGCCGCUGUAAUAC